CCUACGGGGGGCAGCAGUGAGGAAUAUUGGUCAAUGGGCGGGAGCCUGAACCAGCCAAGUCGCGUGAGGGAAGACGGUCCUACGGAUUGUAAACCUCUUUUGCCGGGGAGCAACGGGGUCCUUGCGAGGGCCCGAUGAGAGUACCCGGAGAAAAAGCAUCGGCUAACUCCGUGCCAGCAGCCGCGGUAAUACGGAGGAUGCGAGCGUUAUCCGGAUUUAUUGGGUUUAAAGGGUGCGUAGGCGGGCUGUUAAGUCAGCGGUCAAAUGUCGGGGCUCAACCCCGGUCUGCCGUUGAAACUGGCGGGCUGGAGUUGGAGAGAAGUACGCGGAAUGCGCGGUGUAGCGGUGAAAUGCUUAGAUAUCGCGCAGAACCCCGAUUGCGAAGGCAGCGUACCGGCUCCACACUGACGCUGAGGCACGAAAGCGUGGGUAUCGAACAGGAUUAGAUACCCCAGUAGUC
rnacentral:rRNA from 1 species